AGCCAACAAAGUAUGUUUUCGAGGUUAACAACGAAGCACAGGAUAGUACAAGUGGAAGAUCAUUAACAUGACUGGAUAGGAACCUCUUUUAAUUUCCCUUUCUUGGCUUUUUCCACACCCUAGGUGGAUUACACUCACCCUGACACACCUAGAAAAUACACCCAGAUACCAGAAUUGCAAAAUUCAGGAAGAAUGCACUGCACACUGUAUCCAGGCAAGCCAAGCUCACCUAAAAAUGGUCUCAAAAAGCAAAGGGCUCUGACCAUCGACUGAUGGGGUUGCAAGCCCAGCCUGUCUGCAGGAAUUUUUAAAUCUGAAACCACACUACAGAAAUUAUUUUAUAUAUUACUUAUUUUUAAAACUCAACUGUAAAAAUAAGUGUUGCAGGAAGAGUGAGGAAGAGGGAAUUUAAAAGAGGAAGUUGGGACUGAAUCUAUUCGUUCCAACCUCCCUAAGCAAUCCACUUAUUGAUCAGUGCUUCCAACUCAAGGAAUAUUUAAAAUUUUUUAAUUAAAGAAAAAAUUCUAUCAAUCAGAGAAUCUUGAAGGUAGGGGGAUCAUUUACAAUCAUUUUACAGGUGAGGAUAUUGAGACCAGCAGGGAGAUGACCUGCCCAAGCCUGCACAGAUAGCAAGGACCAAAGUUGGGAUGAGACUCAAAUAUGCCCUUUCAGAUGUGCUUAUAAAAACAAGUCAGUGUUCACAUUUACUGUAUUAAUAGGAAUGUCUUUCAGGGGGAGUUUACAGAAAAAAAAAAUAAACCGAAUUAAGUUAUGAUGACUAUAUUUUCCAUUGUUUUCAUUUCCUUAAAAAAGGAAAGGCUGUUGAACUUGUGAGUUCUGCAGUCUAUGGUUUUGAAGCUAAGUUAUUACACACAAGCUACCUUGUGUGAACAUGGAAAGACCUUGAUAUAUUACUUCUUUGUUACAAUCAGCAGUAAGUGCCACUUAGCAUGUCUGGCUACUUACAGAGUGAAAUAAUUGCUUAGGAACCUAGAACUGCUUAUUUAAAGGGUGGGAACUCAAUAUUUAAUUACUGAACCAAAAAGCACCUCAGCUUUACUGUGGGAAAUCUCAUGCAAUGCACUGUUAGCCUUCAGGUGGUUUCUCAGCCCAAUUCUUCAUUACUCUCCAGAAUCCUCUGGAACUUCCCUUCUGUUAUGACAUAAAGGUAUCUGUCUUGGUGAAUCUGGAUCAACAAGGAAUGGCAGAUCUCUAUACUAGAACAAGGCUGAAGGAAGCAGACCAUUUCUGCAAAAUAAGAGUUUAUCUUUGUCAUAAAUACUUUAGGUUGACAUGGUUCUAUUAUAUCAGGCUCGUUGGUCCCAGGAGGUUGCAUUUUUCCUAAAUGUGCGCCGUUAAGGUAUUGUGUGAUUGAGGAGGGGAAGAAGGCUGGAUGGGAAAUCAUGCAAAGACAAGUGCAUGUGAUAUCCAGUAUCUUCUUGAAUGAGCUGUGGUAUCACUUUAAAAGAUGGGAUUUUUAACAUUUUUAAUGACCACUUCAAAUUCUCCACCAGCCACGGCAUAGUUGUGUGGGUUUUUCUUUUCAAUUUUGGUAUAAUCACCCAGAUUACAUUUCUCUAUGAGAAACAUUCACCUCGCAUUUUGAAAAGCAUAGAAAAAUUCACUGCCAAGGACUAGCUGGCCAACAGUAGCCCUAGGGAGAUAUAUUUCCGUUCUCCCACCCAGCCUCUCUGCACCCAUCCUCACAAUGACAUACACCAUAGUGGAAGUAACAUAUGACUUAUGGUGGGAAAAAAAAUAACAAAUGAUAAAAUGGGAAGGAGGGCAAGGGGAAAAUAGAGAGACUGCUACCCCACCACCUGAAUGGAAGGGGACCCCAGCACAAGGAGGAGGCUUCAGCUACACUGCACACAUGUCCCCCGGGUGUCUGAACCUGCCAGAAAUCUCUUAGUCCAUUUUCCUCUGGUUGAUAGCACUGCAGAGAAAUUGUUUAAUGUGUGUCUAGGGUA
rnacentral:lncRNA from 10 species